UCGAGAACAUAAGUGUCAUUUGAAGGAGGUACAAAGAAACUUCAACAAUAGUUCAUGGUAGUUAUCGACUGUCCUUCACUAAUUGUGGAGCGUACCUGCAACGAUAGUCCAAUAUUCAAGCCAAUGAGGUCUCAACGUGCUUUGUAGAGAUUUCUCAAAAUUAGAGUGUGUACCUCAUUAUGAUGUGAUGUGAAACUCUUGAUAUAUAAACCUCUGGAUAAAACAAGUCGAUUAUACCCUUAUGGCUCUAUCGUCAAAUGACCGAUUGAUCAGAUCUUAACGUGUUUUCUUGUAUAUCACGACUCAUUAAGAGUUCAUGUGGUACACAACUUUAUAUGGGUGCCUUGAUGGGCCUAAGUUGGUAAAAUAGACUUUAGGUUAUGAUAAUUGAGCCUUGGAUUGGUUCGUAAUAGUAGCCUUCUAAGUAGUUGUCUUUUUUCUUGAGGCGAGGAAUUUUAAGUAUUAAUAGAUUUAUCCUCUCUUGACACUUGGAGGAUUCAAACAAAGUACUUACUGAUGGCAUAUGGUUUGACUUUUUGUUUUAAUAGACACUUUAGGUUAUGUGCAUGAUGACUGAACUUGUCAGUCGCAAUGAAGGUGAGAAAAACACAAGAAGAGGGGUUGAAUUGUGUUGGCUUUAUAUAGAAACUUCUCUAAGUCUUUCAGAACUGGUUAGAGUCUGAUGGGUUCAGAGUCUGACUUUGAGUCUGUAUGCAGCGAAAAUAUCAAACACAAAGAUAAGAGAGAGAGAGAGAGAGCAGACCCAAAGUAGUUUAUACUGGUUCCUUGCACAAAACAGGAGUAGUCAAGUCCCUUGCAUUUCCAAGAGAUAUCACUAUAAUCUCACUAGACUACAAAUGCUUAAGGACACUCUUAAGAGACUUUCAAAUGCUCAAGUACACUGGCUGACCUUUCAUCAGAUCUUCUACCAUAGUCUUUGAGCUUCUUAGUAGCAUCCUUUCUUAUGUUUCAAGGUGUUCCUUACCAUAAUAUCAUCAAUG
rnacentral:lncRNA from 1 species